rnacentral:lncRNA from 1 species
GACGAUUGUGUGCCGGCCUUCCCAAAGGAGAGCGCUUCCAGCUGGAUCCAGGGCACAGGAAAUGAUCUAGCGAAAGCCUUUUGGUGACAAUUAACAGAAUUCCUGCCGAUAACUUCUUUUUUUGGUUCUGUCCCUCAGAACAAUUUCACAUCAAGCCCUAAGUGGCUGUGGAGAGGCCUUGGAGUGACAGGAAUGCAAGAAUGAGGACACCUGGUGAUUCACCUGGCUCAGAAUCCUCUCCCCCGGCAGUGGCCAGGGAUGGGUGUUUGAGGAGAGACGAGAACCAGGUUUGGAGCUGUUGUCUUACCCCCAGUGCUCCUGAGAGGAAACACAGAAGAGGGUCC